CUUCAGGAGACUCGUCGGAGAUAUAUGCCGAGGUUGUCAAAGGUCUUGGAGAAACCUUAGUUGGAGCUUAUCCUGGACGUGCCUUAAGUUUUAUUAGCAAGAAAAAUGCUCUGGACUCUCCUCAGGUGUUAGGUUACCCUAGCAAACCGGUUGGCCUCUUUAUCAGACGGUCCAUAAUCUUCCGAUCCGAUUCCAAUGGUGAAGAUCUUGAAGGUUAUGCCGGUGCAGGCCUUUAUGACAGGUGAACUACUAU